GCCUACGGCCAUACCACCUGGCAACGCCCGAUUCGUUGAUCUCGCGAAGCUAAGCAGGGUCGGGCCCGGUUAGUACUUGGAUGGGAGACCUCCUGGGAAUACGGGUGCUGUAGGUU
rnacentral:rRNA from 1 species